AAACAUGAGCAACAUUUAUUUUAGUAGUACCAUAGAAAUAGUUUAUACACGAUGACACUUCAUAAACCGGAGCAUGUAAUCUGUAGGGUUACAUCACAAUAAAGUGCAAGGUUCUUCGCUCAGUGGUGGACGAAAGCAGCGCGAGCAACCACGUCAGGCAACGUCAAAUCCAAGGUGCUUUUUACGUCAUGUCAGCAACACUGAAGUAUGGCAUGAGCUCAGUGGUUAUCACAAACUGUAUAAAAAACUAUCCUUGUUGGUCAUCGAAGUGACAAAUACACCCUCAAAGAAUAAAUAUACAUUCAGGUCAAUGUAGAAAAAUAACCACCAAAAAAUACACGUUUCCUCUCCGGCUUCCUCCUCGCGUCGCCUUGUUUUUCAAGUCUUAGUAACAUCAUUGAAGGAUGGUGAAAUCCAGACAUACAGAAACAAAACAAAACAAAAACAGCCAAACAAAAAACUGGGACGGGAAAGGUGUGUUAAUGUGUGUGUGUAAAAGGGAAGUAUUAGCCCUAAAAGCUCCACAGACAAAAGAAAAAAAAGGCAACAUCAGGCACUUCCAUUCCCUGCAGCUCGUUGUCACACAGAGACAGUUUGAAGAUCAUGAGAGGCUGACCCAUCAAUCCUCAGUGUGAUAUAAACAACAUGUGGACCAAUGCGAUGCCUCUGUGGGAGAUUCCAUAGAUGUGACACAUCACAUCGGCUCCUGCGUCCCCAGUGGAAGCCUGUGGAGUCAGACUGACCUGCUGGGUCCAGAGUUAGGCUUUACUUCUUAGUUUGUUUUGAAUUUGUAAUACUGAUCAUUCAGUGUCGCUCCCUGAUAACUCAAACCUUCCACUUUUGAUUAACACAUCGCAAUCAUUUGUCAAGGUUUCCAUUUAUUUGAGCCGCUGGCUGCUCAGCUGUCAUGGAAUUGAUCAUUUUGAACGUUGAUAUCUUUAAUCGUUUUUAAUAUCAUCUAAAUGAUUUGGAUUUCUGUGAUUUUCAUCUCUCGGUGUUCUGAAACCUUUUUAGCAGAACUGAAACGAGGUGGUGUUUUAAAGUUUAGUUUAAAGUCAUGUAUGAACUGCAAAAACUCAACUUUUUCAGUCAACGUUAGAAGAAAUGUUCAUGGAAAUGCAGACGAAAGAAGGAAUCUCUAAGCAAAACCCGGUGAUGAAACUAAUGUAAAAUAAUAAGCCAAACCUACUCGGGUGACCAGAAGCCCGUCCUUAUGUGGGACCGUGCAGCACUUUGAUUCCUUGUCCAAUCUAUGCAAUGAUGCAAACAGAACUACUGGAAUAACAGAGACAUAAAAAAGAAAAAUACAGGAGUAUAUAAAGCCCAUCACAUCAUAGCAUAAGAACAAACUAGAGCUUUCUUUUUCAGUAGUGUAUUUACUUACUGGGAGAGUUGGAACAUGAACAAUUUAUUGUAUUUUUAUUUUGUGGUUGGAUAUGAACGUUUCAGACUACCUCUCAGCAUCGCUGACGUGUCCCUCACAUUCAGUUUCUUGGGAUCUGGUCACCCUAGCUAUAGGUUAGCCUGGUCCAAAAUGACCUUUUACUCAUAAUUACUGUGAAUAUAUCAUGUUACAGAUACUUAUGUUAUGAGAUAACCAAUUAUAGGUUGCUAGAGAUCAGUUGGCGGCCCCUCAGACACCACCGGUCCCUCUGGAAAAAUGUGCAUUCUUCUACGCACAUUACUUUGGGUUCCUAUUGGUCUUUAGGCUGGUGUGACUGGGGAUUUAUACAGUUUGGAAAAGUGUUUUAUAAAGCCUGCUACAGCUUCCAACAUAAGAGACUCUACAUGUAGUUACACAGUUUCAAAUUUUAACGUAUAGACUCUCGUCCAGUUUUACAUGUUAAUGUCCACGUUAGUCCCUCUUUGUUUUCAGAGACCAUUUGUUUAAAACUGAAAGGUUUUCCUGCAUUAUUAAAUGACAUUAUCACUGGCUAAGAGCCUUAGCCGGCUGUUAGAUGAUGGGUUACUAAUAUUAUCUGUUUUAUUAGCCGAAAAGCACAUUUUCUGAAAGUUGUGCUGGAACGCUACACGGUUGACAAAACUAAAUGCAUUAGCUCGGCUUUUUAGCCUUUUGGUAAUUGACUUAAUGAGGCAUUUCCAGUUUUAAAAGAAUCACAUUAAUGGAUAAGGACAGUGCAAAUGAUAUGAUUAAAAGGGACUGAAUAUUGGUGCGAAACAUCAGCUGGUAGCAGCUUUAAAACUUUGCCUUUGAAAUUCUACCCAUCAGUCUUUGCAAAGAGAGCCUCCCGGUGGACACACAAACCUCUAUGAUGCUAAUACAGUGCAAUUCCUUAAUACAUUCUCUCAUUUAGUUUCUCCUUUUGGUACAAAUUUGUCACUUGUAUGGUGGGCUAUAUGUGCGGAGAUGAAGAGCUAGUUGAACAGAGAAGACUACACCGUCUUUAUAUCGCUAUAGUAACUGUACUGGAGGAGAAAGGCAUGCAGGCGGAUCAAAUCUUCUCUCGGAGGAUUUUGAAACGCAUACAAGACUAAAGCCACGUGUUGUACAGCAGUAACAGUCUAUGAGUUUACAGGUUACAGGUACAGCACUGUGUGUUAGUAUGGGUCUGAUACCUAAGCCCACCUCACUGAGUAUGUACAAAAUGUUUGAGUCCAGUCAGGCUGGCUUAGUGUGGCUCCGUUUACAUGCACAGAGAACUCCUCCCUUCUCUUCCUCACAUGUUUACUAAUGUAGCCUGUGUGCUUCAAUGACCAGGAGAGCUGUGCCAGUGGGAGCAGAGGCUCCUGGUAGGGAUACCCAGGUUGAACAGGUCAAAGGGUAGAGGCCAGACAAAUUUGAACCACCUCUAAAGCUAACAUGUCUAAAGCAAAAAACAAAAACAAAAGCCCAUAACUAUUACACAAACAUAAAUGGCAAACUCAGAUCACGCUGGUGGGGAGUUGUCAGUGGAUUUUGCUCGUCAUGGGGCAAAUGGGCUUAGAGGAAAAAGACGAUCUAAUGUAAGGUCAAACAUUUAGCCAAGAAAUUUGCUCAGGCGCUAAUGAAAAGUGCAAUAUCAAAGGAAUUGGCUGUUUGACUUUCCAGUUUUGUGCUACUUUAAACUGUGAAACUACUACAUAUACUUCAUCGCUGGAGUUCAAAAAUAAAGACUCUGCAUGAAAGGUAAGAUCCUCUCGAUUCACAGUGUUCAGUCAUAACUUGGGAUCCACGUAAAGUACGGAGCUCUGUGUUUCCAU
ensembl:lncRNA